rfam:Oryza sativa Japonica Group DNA, chromosome 5, cultivar: Nipponbare, complete sequence.
UUUUAACGCAACCAUGAGUUUUCGUUUCCAACUUUGAUCUUCCGUCUUAUUUGAUUUUUAUUUUAUUUUUUUAUGAUUAGUUUUUUUAUUUUUAUUAGAUGAUAAAAUAUUAAUAUUAUUUUAUGCGCGACUUACAUUUUUUAUUUUUUUUAAAUAAGAUGGACAAUUAAAGUUGGACAUGUAAACUCAUGAUUGUAUUUAAA